CUAUUGUGACAUUGUGAGAGUUUAAUGGCCAUUUGUUUUACAGCAAGUUUCUGAAAGAAUUGGUCAAGUACCAGAAGCUCAGUGAUGACACAUGGCUCACGAGGAAUUGCUUUGAACGAAAACACUCCUUUUUGUUUUUGAAACAAAUUUGUGUAAACACGAGAUCUAUUCCAGUAUCUGUAAGUCACACUCUUUGACCAGAAACUUCAAAGGGCCAGCUAUGCCUUUUAGGUCAUUCUUUUUUUUUUUUUUUUUUUUUUCCGGAGCUGGGGACCGAACCCAGGGCCUUGCGCUCGCUAGGCAAGCGCUCUACCGCUGAGCUAAAUCCCCAACCCUAGGUCAUUCUUUAACUAAGUUAAAUCACUUCCUGUGUACUUAUUGCGUGUGUGCAUGGAUGCACAGGUGUGUGCACACGUCAGAAGACAGCUUCUAGGAGUCACUUCUGGAAGUCAGGGCUUGGGGCUCGAUGAUAGGCACCUUUACCCGCUACCCCAC
rnacentral:lncRNA from 1 species